UUGAAGAGUUUGAUCAUGGCUCAGAUUGAACGCUGGCGGCAGGCCUAACACAUGCAAGUCGAGCGGUAGCACAGAGAGCUUGCUCUCGGGUGACGAGCGGCGGACGGGUGAGUAAUGUCUGGGAAACUGCCUGAUGGAGGGGGAUAACUACUGGAAACGGUAGCUAAUACCGCAUAACGUCGCAAGACCAAAGUGGGGGACCUUCGGGCCUCAUGCCAUCAGAUGUGCCCAGAUGGGAUUAGCUAGUAGGUGGGGUAACGGCUCACCUAGGCGACGAUCCCUAGCUGGUCUGAGAGGAUGACCAGCCACACUGGAACUGAGACACGGUCCAGACUCCUACGGGAGGCAGCAGUGGGGAAUAUUGCACAAUGGGCGCAAGCCUGAUGCAGCCAUGCCGCGUGUGUGAAGAAGGCCUUCGGGUUGUAAAGCACUUUCAGCGGGGAGGAAGGCGAUAAGGUUAAUAACCUUGUCGAUUGACGUUACCCGCAGAAGAAGCACCGGCUAACUCCGUGCCAGCAGCCGCGGUAAUACGGAGGGUGCAAGCGUUAAUCGGAAUUACUGGGCGUAAAGCGCACGCAGGCGGUCUGUCAAGUCGGAUGUGAAAUCCCCGGGCUCAACCUGGGAACUGCAUUCGAAACUGGCAGGCUAGAGUCUUGUAGAGGGGGGUAGAAUUCCAGGUGUAGCGGUGAAAUGCGUAGAGAUCUGGAGGAAUACCGGUGGCGAAGGCAGCCCCGACAAAGACUGACGCUCAGGUGCGAAAGCGUGGGGAGCAAACAGGAUUAGAUACCGGUAGUCCACGCCGUAAACGAUGUCGAUUUGGAGGUUGUGCCCUUGAGGCGUGGCUUCCGGAGCUAACGCGUUAAAUCGACCGCCUGGGGAGUACGGCCGCAAGGUUAAAACUCAAAUGAAUUGACGGGGGCCCGCACAAGCGGUGGAGCAUGUGGUUUAAUUCGAUGCAACGCGAAGAACCUUACCUGGUCUUGACAUCCACAGAACUUUCCAGAGAUGGAUUGGUGCCUUCGGGAACUGUGAGACAGGUGCUGCAUGGCUGUCGUCAGCUCGUGUUGUGAAAUGUUGGGUUAAGUCCCGCAACGAGCGCAACCCUUAUCCUUUGUUGCCAGCGGUCCGGCCGGGAACUCAAAGGAGACUGCCAGUGAUAAACUGGAGGAAGGUGGGGAUGACGUCAAGUCAUCAUGGCCCUUACGACCAGGGCUACACACGUGCUACAAUGGCAUAUACAAAGAGAAGCGACCUCGCGAGAGCAAGCGGACCUCAUAAAGUAUGUCGUAGUCCGGAUUGAGUCUGCAACUCGACUCCAUGAAGUCGGAAUCGCUAGUAAUCGUAGAUCAGAAUGCUACGGUGAAUACGUUCCCGGGCCUUGUACACACCGCCCGUCACACCAUGGGAGUGGGUUGCAAAAGAAGUAGGUAGCUUAACCUUCGGGAGGGCGCUUACCACUUUGUGAUUCAUGACUGGGGUGAAGUCGUAACAAGGUAACCGUAGGGGAACCUGCGGUUGGAUCACCUCCUU
rnacentral:rRNA from 1 species